AUUGAACGCUGGCGGCAGGCCUAACACAUGCAAGUCGAACGAGUGGCGGACGGGUGAGUAAUGUCUGGGAAACUGCCUGAUGGAGGGGGAUAACUACUGGAAACGGUAGCUAAUACCGCAUACCAUCAGAUGUGCCCAGAUGGGAUUAGCUAGUUGGUGGGGUAACGGCUCACCAAGGCGACGGUCCCAAGCUGGGCGGAGAGGAUGACCAGCCACCCUGGACCUGAGACACGGUCCAGACUCCGCCGGGAGGCAACAGUGGAGAAUAUUGCACAAUGGGCGCAAGCCUGCUGCAGCCAUGCCGCGUGUAUGAAGAAGGCCUUCGGGUUGUAAAGUACUUUCAGCGGGGAGGCGUUACCCGCAGAAGAAGCACCGGCUAACUCCGUGCCAGCCGCCGCGGUAAUUC
rnacentral:rRNA from 1 species